AAAGGACGAGAAGACCCUGUCAAACUUUAGUAUAGGGUGAAAUCGGUAUUAAUUAUAUUGAAUUUUAUUUAGUAUUUUGGUUGGGGCAACUUAGAAGGAUAAAGACUUUUAUUACAUAAAAUUAUAAUUUUUAGGUGACUUUAUCCAAACUAGCCGUAAUAAGGAGUAAUUAGAUUUUGAAUAUAGAAUAAGUUACUGG
rnacentral:rRNA from 1 species